AUUUAUUCUACCUGAAGGCUUAUCAGUCGCCACUCGCCGCUCAAAUCGACGCCUAUCAAUACGAUUAAAGAUAUCUUAUCUAUUGUAACUUGGUCAGUUAACCAGAAAGUAAGUUGUGGUUGAAACCUGAAGACAAAAUGUUGGGACCCAUCGCGAGGAUUUCCAACCAGGCUGGCAGGAAUGUCAUGAAGAGUUUUGUGAGGAAUGGGUCUGAAGGUGGAAUACCAGGAGGGAACCUGCCGUUUGACAUACACAACAGGACCAGGCUGACCCUCAACCUCUUCUGGUUCGUGGGCACCGGCCUCGCCGCGCCUUUCAUCAUCGUGUGGCAUCAAAUGGCGAAGAAGUGAGCACGCACCAGUGUUAAACAUCAGAAAAUAUUACCUCUAGAACUAUGAUGUACCUAGUUAAAUACUGAUUAUCUCAUAAUUAAAUGUAUUUAAAGUAGAUUUUGCAGUUUUAUUUAAUUUUUAAAGGAUGCGUUCAGAUUUAUUUAAAUAAAAAUAUUAAGUGCCAAAUUUCUGGACGUGAACGCAAUAGUAGUUUUUGAAAAAAAGUAUACAUUCACUGAAGGAAGGAGGUUAUCGAAUUUUCACAGAUUUACAGGAAAUUCUAAUUAAUUUAUCAAAAUGCUGGGUCCAUUGGCUCGUGUCUCAAACAAGCUUGGCAGGAAUGUGAUGACCACCUUUGUGAGGAAUCACUCCCACGGUGGAGUGCCUGGCGAGAACCUGCCCUUCGACAUCUCA